CACCGCGGUUAUACGAGAGGCCCGAGUUGAUAGACCACGGCGUAAAGAGUGGUUAGGGAAGACCUCAAACUAAAGCCGAACACUAUCAAAGCUGUUAUACGCACACGAAAGUAUGAAGAACAACAACGAAAGUAGCUUUAUUUUUCCUGAACCCACGAAAGCUAAGAAA
rnacentral:rRNA from 1 species